CAGCAGCCGCGGUAAUACGAAGGGUGCAAGCGUUAAUCGGAAUUACUGGGCGUAAAGCGUGCGUAGGCGGUUUGUUAAGUCUGUUGUGAAAUCCCCGGGCUCAACCUGGGAAUGGCAAUGGAUACUGGCAAGCUAGAGUGUGUCAGAGGAUGGUGGAAUUCCCGGUGUAGCGGUGAAAUGCGUAGAGAUCGGGAGGAACAUCAGUGGCGAAGGCGGCCAUCUGGGACAACACUGACGCUGAGGCACGAAAGCGUGGGGAGCAAACAGGAUUAGAUACCCGUGUAGUCCCUGUCUCUUAUAC
rnacentral:rRNA from 1 species